rnacentral:lncRNA from 1 species
CUCAAUUAACACAUAUCUUGUACUUUUACUGUACUUGUCACAAAAUUCUAGAGCUUGCUACAUCUCCACCUCAGCAUUCAUCUGUGUUCCACUCAUCUUAUGAAACCCAGAUGCUAAAUAAAGACAAUCAAAAAAACAUGACUUCAUGCAGUCACAUCUGUGGGAAACAAUGUUUUUGCUCAUAAUACUGCAAUUAUUGAAUUCAAUGAUUAUUGCUCAGCCCAACAUUCC